CCUGGCACGACCUAGGGUAGAGCAGACCUUCCAGGGAGAUGGGUAUGGCCGAAACUACAGGCGAAGUGUCUGAGGUCUGGGUUCCCUGGAACAGGCCAGCGUCCGGACGACCCAGCAGGGGGGACUGGACCUCGGUAUAGAGAAUACAGUGGAUGACUCCCAGGUUCCAAGAUGAAUGAAGGUGCUAGAGGUCUCACUAUGUUGUGGAGAACUGGAACUUGUGAUCUUGCUGCCUCAGCUGCCUGAGUCCCUGGGAUUCCUGAUGACUGCAAUGGCUGGGAUCGCAGGAUCCAAUCCAGAACAUCACAUCUCAUUGUCCUCAAGUCUCCUUUUUUUGGCUGUAAUUUUUUUUUGGACUUUUCUUAUAUUUCAUGACCUUGACAGUCCUGAGAAGUAUUAUACAAUGACUCUGAGAUGCUGAGGAUCAAAACCAGUGUUAGGAAAGUGUCUACCACUAAGCUACAAUCCCAGCCCAAGUUGACUCUUUUAUUUGCUGAGUGUUUUAGCCAGCAUUUUUUUUUCCUACAGUGACCAAAAGACCUAAAAAGCAAUUUUAAAGGAGAUUCAUAUGUUGAAGCCCUCACCCCUGAUGUGACUGUAUUUGGAGAUAAAGCGUUUAAGGAGUUGGUUAGAUCAAACAGAGCGGCAAUCUGAUAGAACUGGGUUCCUUAGAAGAAGAAACAUCUCUCUCUCUCUCUCUCUCUCUCUCUUUCUCCUCUAUCUCUCUCUCCCCUCUUCCCUCUGCCCCUCCAUGAUUGAGGAAAGGCUGUGAGGACACAUUAAGAAGAUGGCCAUUUGUAAGUCAGGGAGAGAGGCACAAUAAGAAAUCAAGAAAUCAACUCUGGCAACUUGAUCUUGGCUUUCCUCCAAAAACGCUUCCAUCAAAUGAAUAUGUUUCCUCUGCCAUGUGAUUCUGACAUUACAUACUGCUUCAACACAGAAAAACAACAACAAGAAGAAAAGGCCCGUGAGCAAAGCUCCUGUUCUAUACUAUCGACACUUAGCACAGGGCCAAGCAAAUAGUAGGCAUUUAGCAUCUAUUCCCCAAAGGAGGAAGGAGAAAUAGUUGACUCUUUCAAGAGUUUUAAUGGAGAAGAAAAGAAAGCAGUAAUAACUACCAAGGCCAAGGAAAGGUUUAAUUUUUCUCAUUGAAGAGAGAAACUUGAAAACAUGCAUAGGUUGAAGGAAAAAAGCCUAUAGAAAUGGGAGAGACUGGGAUACAAAAGGAAAAGGGAAGAAGGCCCUGGAGAUAUAUGAAGAAGGUGGAGUUGAAACCAUAAGUGAAGGAAUAGGUUUGGAUCAAGAGUGAGCCCUCUAAGAUUAAAAAAGGAGGCAAGAACAACAUCACUCAAAGAUCAGUUCAUACAGGUACUGAACAUAGUAUGUGCUCAGGACUUUGUGUUUAGUCAGCUUUUUCAUUGCUGUGACCAAAAGACCUGACAAGAACAAUUUUAGAGGAGGAAAAGUUUAUUUGGUGUUCAUAGUUUCAGAGGUCUCAAUCCAGGAACCGCUGGCUCCAUCGCUCUGAGUCAGAGGUGAGGAAAGAUCAUCAUGGUGGAAGAGCUUGACAUGGGAAAGUGGCUGAGGACAUGACACCAGGAAGCAGAAUGAGAUACUGCAGACAAGAGACAGCAUAUAAACCCCGAAGGCUUGUCCCUAAUAACCCACUUCCUCUAGCUACACCUUACCUGCCUAUAGUCAUCAUCCAGUUAAUCCAUUCAAGUGAAUCAAUGCACCAAUUAGGUCAAAACUCUCAUGAUCCAUAAUCAUUUCACCUCUGAAAUUUCCUGCAUUGUCUCACACAUGAGCUUCUGGGGUAUAACUCAUAUCUAAACCAUAGCUAGCUACUGAGUUAGGUUGGAGAAGGAAUUAGAAAUUCAAAACAGUACCAAAACACUGUUCUCAAUAAUUGUCUCUUACUAAGCAAAAUUAAGUUUUAGUUUCUUAUUUUGUCAAGAGAAAGAAGGAAAAUCUUGAAUGUAUUUCAGUUCAAUAGAUGGAGUUCUAAAAAUGCAACCAGAGCAUAUAAACUGAUACUCAGUCUACACCCCUGUUUUUUAGACUUUCUCAUGGCACCGAAAGUUUUGCUGGUUUGUUUUGAAGGCAUCACAAAGGGACGCUUCACUCUCCCGCUGACCAGUCCUCAGCAUUCUCUGUACACACUCCAUUCCAGUCAUUUCUGGUUUCUGCCUGACCUCUUAAGGCAUUAAACAACUGGAAUAGACUCUAUAUUUUAUAAUCUAGUAUAUCAUGACCCCCAGGAGAUAAAGUGUUUUAGCACAGAACUUCAUGUUAGGGGUCACUAGAAACAAAGAAUAAAUUUAGGUGGGGAAGCAAAGGAGAGCUUUUCCUUUCCUGUUGAGCUGACUGGUAGUACCUUGCUAAGCAUCAUUUAUUAAAUUCUUUUUGUUUUCCUGUACAAAGUACAAUCUCACUAGACAUCUGUUUUCCUCCACUAUCAAAUUUUGAAAUAAAAGUGAAUUACUGCCAAACAAAGUAAGAAGAUUUAUUUUGUGCUAAUCCUAUCCUGUCUAAAUUACGUGUGUUGUUUAAUCCCAUGUGGAAAGUUUCCCCUUAUAGACAGAAGUUUUCAACUAUUUGUAUUAGAAAUUAUGUCUGAAACUAACAGAGAAUCUUGAUAUGAUUAAGAAAAAAUUAAUUUUUGUAUGUAUAAACAACUAUUUAAAGUUUUUAAAAAGAUAUUGUCUUUGAAUAGACUAUGUAGUUUUAUUGGAAUUAACUAAGUUUUUUUUUCCUUUCAUUUUAGGGCCUAUCCUAUUGGCCUCAUUUAAAUUAAUUUAUAUUUUACAAAUAUUCAGUUGGUGCAUUAUAGUUGUACACAAUGAUAGGAUUUGUUGGUUAUAUAUUUGUACUUGUACAUAAUAUAAAAAUAUAAUUUGAGUGACACUGUGGAAUUAAGAGAGAGAAAAGAACAAUUGCUACCAUUACUCAAGCCCAAGAAAAAUCCUUUCUCUUCCAGGAAAGCUAUCCUGUACUGGCAGAGAGGACGGGGACAUUUCCUGGGCAAUUAAAGUGGUGAGGUCAAGGUCAUCCUCACAAAUAGUUGUCUUUUUGUUAGUCCUCCACAUGCCUACUUUUAUUCAUCUGAGCAAAAAAUACUGCAAAUGUGACACACUAUGUAACAAAUCUUACUAUCUUCGUUUUUGCUUCUUUAUAGUAUGCCAGGAUUUUGGAGAAUUUGCAGUGUUUUAAAAAUAGCGUAUCCUGUCUUUUAUAGCACCUUUCCCAGCUAACUAAUUGGCCUGUCCUUAAUAGCUUAAAAACAUUUUCAUUUUAAGUUUCAAUUGUAUUUUAUUUUAUUUUUUUAUUGGUUGCUCAAAUCAUUACAAUGCUCUUGACAUAUUUCAUACAUUUGAUUCAAGUGGGUUAUGAACUCCCAUUUUUACCACGUGUACAGAUUGCAGGAUCACAUUGGUUACACAUCCAUGUUUAUACAUACUGCCAUACCAGUGUCUGUUGUAUUCUGCUGCCUUUCCUAUCCCCUUCCUAUUAUGAACAGUUUUAAUCAUUAUCUCUCAGACAUAGGAGAGAGAUGAUCAAGAGGAUGUUGAAACUAUGUUCAGAGCUAUUUUAGAUUUGAUUAAAGAUUUUAAUCUCAAAAAAUAUUUCUCCUAGCCCACUAAUGUCACACCUCUGUCACAACUGCAAUACCUGAUUAUCAGUGUUUCCCCUCAUUCAUUCUUUCCAUCUCAUUUCUUCACUAAACUGGUUCUCAUGUUUACCAGUGAGGCUCAAGACUUGCAGGUCAACAGCCAUGAGAAGUAUUUGGGUAAAACAAUAACUCACAGUAAAGUCUCAAAUUGAAGAGUCAAAAAUGAAGCUGUCAAUUAGAGGUACUUGACUGAAAAACUAGAAUAGAAAACCUGCCUUUAUGUGGAACAACAACAACAACAACAAAAACAACAAAUGGAAAAUGAAACAAAACAAGAACAAAUGGAAAAGAAAGAAAACAAGAGAAGUAAGUAGACUAUCAUAGGAUCCACAGCAAGACAACCUCAAGGAUUUGGAGCACUUUUGACUCAAGGAUUUGGACUUUUAUUUCUGUCAGUAGGAAAUAGGAUUUGUUGUGUAGGCAUGUGUAGGUAGCUAUUUACAAGGAAUACUAUCAUGUUUCCUAUUUUUAAAUAUUUACCGUAUUGCUUAAAUUGGACUUUCAUAAUUAUUGGCAUGGUGAGGAGAUAAUGACUCCUUCUAAAUUCAGAUACUGAUAAUUUAAAAAUGAUAUAGUUUUACUGUAAGUAAUUGGCCUAUCAUUGGUAGCUUAUCAAUAGCUUCACUUUUAAAUUUGAAUUUUAAAUCUUUAUGAACAGUUUUAAUCAUUGGAAAACAUUCUUGUAAAUAACAGGUUUGACAAUGGAGUUAGAAGAUUUUGUAAUUAAUUUUAAUCAAUAAAUCUGAUAUACUAUUUCUGUUUUAUCUUACAAGUUGUAU